GCCAAGCCACCCGCGGCGAAGAUGCACGCGACUUCCUAAACCGCGUGCGCUGGUUCGAUUCCGGCCGGGGGCA
rnacentral:tRNA from 1 species